rnacentral:rRNA from 1 species
ACUCCUACGGGAGGCAGCAGUGGGAAGUAUUGCAUCAAUGGCGGCAAGCCUGCAUGCAGCCAUGCCGCGUGUGUGAAGAAGGCCUUCGGGUUGUAAAGCACUUUCAGUUGUGAGGAAGGUGGUGUCGUUAAUAGCGGCAUCAUUUGACGUUAGCUGCAGAAGAAGCACCGGCUAACUCCGUGCCAGCAGCCGCGGUAAUACGGAGGGUGCGAGCGUUAAUCGGAAUUACUGGGCGUAAAGCGCAUGCAGGUGGUUUGUUAAGUCAGAUGUGAAAGCCC